rnacentral:lncRNA from 1 species
GGAGUGAGCAUCCCCCAAAGUUCUACAGUGUGGCCAGGGAAUCAAAGAAGGAUCUAUCGUAGUUCUCCUAGUUCUGCAACAAGGCUUAGUGAGUGAUAUGGUCUGACUGUAAAGAACAAUGUCUACAAUGUAGGCCAUAACAGUAGUGAUUCUUCGUUUAUGUUUUCCUGUUGCUAUCUGACCAAGCCUUCUUCUCAUUGCUGAUUUUCUUUUGGUUGUGGAGUAGGAGUGAUGCUUGCUUCCUAAUU